GUUUCACCCACUGAUCUAUAUAUGACUGGAUCGCUCAUCGCGUUCUAAACUGCCAGCAGGCAGUGAAGCCACCGGAAGUGUUUGAUCCGCCAUCUUACUAAUCCCUACCGACAGAGAGCACCAUUGAGUCACAGCUAAAACGCUGUCCUAAAAUCACCCGAUAUGAAGCGAAUCAGUCAAACAGGACUAGUUUUUAUGUUUUGUGUAUGUAAAUUAAUGUUUACUUCAGGUGUUAUCUGCAGUGUUUACGGUCUUUUGGGGCAGUAUAAGCGAUAUAUUUAAACCGUUUAGGUGGUGUGUCUGCUGCACACUGAUGACACAGGUAACUGAUCCAACACAAAAUAUAGCCUAUUUCUUUAUGAACAUAAUUAUUCAGGAAUUAUUAAACAUGAACGUAUUAGUAUCAGAAAUGGAUUUGAAUAUAUAACAGUGAAUAAUACAAUAGCAUCAGUUAAUAUUGCUAUAUACUGAACUGAAAAGCUUAACUUACAAUCUUGGAAAUAAAGCCUUUAAAUUAAGUUAUUUCUCUGAAUAAAUUAUGAUGUGUAUAUUUUUAAUGUCAUGAUUGAGCAACAUCUAUUUCAGACUCUCCAAGAUCGCGCAAAUAUGUUUACUAGCAGUAACGUUACUGUUUACAUGUAAAAUAUUGUAUGCUAAAUUAAUAAUUAUUUUAACAACCGUUUGAAUCAUUACCUGCUUCAAAAUGAAUGCUGUUAAUGAAAUCAUUGUUGAAACAUAUUUGCACUUAGCGCUGAAUAACGAAUAAAAACACUAGCGCCUACGUACGAAUAAAACACUAUAACUAAAUUAUAUAAACAAUGAAUAACUGUACAAGGCAAAUAAAGGUAUACAAAGCAUAAAUCUUUAUUCAGAUUUCAGUAUGAGCACUUUGUCGUUUGUUUUAUAUGCUGAGGUCGUGUCCGUCUGAUGUUUGUCAUGUUCAUGAUGUUCGCUACUGUAAUGAACGUAGCUUUUUAAUAAGUAGGGGAAAUUCCCGACAUUUAAAAAAAUAACCGUUUACAUACCUAGGGUGUCUGCAUUGCAAGAAUGUACAGGGAUACUUCAGAUUUAUAAACGCUGACUUGUUAUGUCAUGUUUUCUCAUUAAAAUCAUACAAUUUCCUAUUAAUUCAAUAGAACGUUUAUGCACACUAGGGAUUACCAAUAUGGCGGCGCGGCGGCUUCACUUUAAUGACGUCAUGAGCAAUCCAGUUCUAUAUUAUAGAUCAGUG
ensembl:lncRNA